CGGCCAUGCGGGCAGCUAUACAUGCAGUCGGACGGGAUUCCAGUGUAGCUUGCUAUACUGGAUGAGAGUGGCGCACGGGUGCGUAACGCGUGAGCAACCUGCCCAUGUCAGGGGGAUAGCCCGUUGAAAGACGGAUUAAUACCGCAUAACACAUAAGUACCGCAUGGUUCUUAUGUCAAAUAUUUAUAGGACAUGGAUGGGCUCGCGUGGCAUUAGCUAGUUGGUAAGGUAACGGCUUACCAAGGCGAUGAUGCCUAGGGGCUCUGAGAGGAGUGACCCCCACACUGGUACUGAGACACGGACCAGACUCCUACGGGAGGCAGCAGUAGGGAAUAUUGGUCAAUGGGCGGGAGCCUGAACCAGCCAUGCCGCGUGCGGGAAGAAGGCCCUAUGGGUCGUAAACCGCUUUUAUACGGGAACAACCGCAUGUACGUGUACGUGCCUGAGUGUACCGUAGGAAUAAGGAUCGGCUAACUCCGUGCCAGCAGCCGCGGUAAUACGGAGGAUCCGAGCGUUAUCCGGAAUUAUUGGGUUUAAAGGGUGCGUAGGCGGCACUUUAAGUCAGGGGUGAAAUACAGCGGCUCAACCGUUGCAGUGCCCUUGAUACUGAAGUGCUUGAAUUCGGACGAAGGAGGCGGAACGGGACAAGUAGCGGUGAAAUGCAUAGAUAUGUCCCAGAACCCCGAUUGCGAAGGCAGCUUCCUAGGCCGAUAUUGACGCUGAUGCACGAAAGCGUGGGGAUCGAACAGGAUUAGAUACCCUGGUAGUCCACGCCCUAAACGAUGAUGACUCGAUGUUUGCGAUAUAUUGUAAGCGUCCAAGCGAAAGCGUUAAGUCAUCCACCUGGGGAGUACGAUCGCAAGAUUGAAACUCAAAGGAAUUGACGGGGGCCCGCACAAGCGGAGGAGCAUGUGGUUUAAUUCGAUGAUACGCGAGGAACCUUACCCGGGCUUGAAAGUUAGCGACGGUAUCAGAGACGCUACUUCCCUUCGGGGCGCGAAACUAGGUGCUGCAUGGCUGUCGUCAGCUCGUGCCGUGAGGUGUUGGGUUAAGUCCCGCAACGAGCGCAACCCCUAUGUUUAGUUGCCAGCACGUUAAGGUGGGGACUCUAAACAGACUGCCGGCGUAAGCCGCGAGGAAGGUGGGGACGACGUCAAGUCAUCAUGGCCCUUACGUCCGGGGCUACACACGUGCUACAAUGGGCGGUACAGCGGGAAGCUACCUGGCAACAGGAUGCGGAUCUCGAAAAGCCGUCCACAGUUCGGAUCGGGGCCUGCAACUCGGCCCCGUGAAGCUGGAUUCGCUAGUAAUCGCGUAUCAGCAAUGACGCGGUGAAUACGUUCCCGGGCCUUGUACACACCGCCCGUCAAGCCAUGAAAGCCGGGGGUGCCUAAAGCAUGUAACCGCAAGGAGCGUGUCAGGGCAAUACUGGUAAUGGGCUAAGUCGUAGCAAGUCCGCCGCCG
rnacentral:rRNA from 1 species